UCUGUGGAGGAAGCGGAUUGGGGGUGGAAUGGCUUUGGGGAGGGGAGUUCUUGGGAAAAGAUCAGCUCCCAGAGCGGGGGAGGCUGCUCGGCUUCAGGGAGGCACAGGGAAGAUGCAGCCGCAGGCUAAAGGCGGAUUCCCUACAAGGUGGGAGUUUUCCUGGACUACAGCGAAGGGGAUGGCUUUCUCUGUAACGUAAUUGAUGGGUCUCACAUUUUCUCCUUACCUCUGACUUGCUUCUGUGGAGCCCUCUUUCCAGACUUCAUGUUAAGGUCAGGAGAUGUGUCGUUGACCAUCUGCUCUGUGUAUAACUUCCAUUCAUUCUUGUGAACAGGACCGUUGCUAUUUGUAUUAGCUAAUUGCAAAACAAAAUUUACCACUAUUGAUUUCUUGAGGAAACCACUGGAAAGGACAUAUGAAAAAGUAAAGCAGAGAUUAUGUGAAAAAGCAAGAUUUGAAAAGGAAAUAUUUGACACACUAUGACUCCAAUUAAUCAAACUGCUCUCUGUUGCAGUGCUUACAAGCAAGUCCUGUCUUCAGAAGAACUGGCUCAUUUAAUAAGAGACAUAGCAGGAGUUUAAGGGGUGUAAUCUAUACAGUUAGUUUGCCGAUUAUUCUCCUUGGUGGAAAAAUAAUUCUCCAUCAUAAUUAUACACUGGCAAGGAUCACUACACAUUUGUAUGACAGUGAAACAGCAAAAUGACUAACAUAAACUCUUUUUUUGUUUAAGGGACCUUUACCCAGUCCUCCACGUAGACUAGGACAAUUUUAGAACACAGAUAAAAUGUAA